CAUUGAGUGGGCCGUCUAAAGGGUGCUCAGAGAAAAAGUCUGCUAUUUGGUUUGUAAUUGCGGCCCUAGGCUUGAUGGGAGACGGUACCAGGAACUCAUCGCUAAGUUCCUCUUGCCUAAAAAGACAACUGUGAGCCUUGGUAACUUUGAUGUCAAGGCGAGAGAACAGGAAGAAGGAAAUAACAGCAAAACUGGCAAGGAAAGCAAUGUGAGGCUGAGAUAUUCCUACCAUUUUUCUCCCUUCUCUUACUGGUCGUGGUCAGUGCAGAAGAAUGCUUCUUCACUACUCAGUCUCCACAUCCAUUUGUGUCUUCUCAACAUCUAACAGUUGUUUGUUUGUUUUAUCCAUUCUAGAAUAGUCAGUUAUAUUUACUGAUCUAUUAUUCACUGGCAGUUUUUCAUAGUUGUCAUUAAAG
rnacentral:lncRNA from 1 species